rnacentral:rRNA from 1 species
GACGAACGCUGGCGGCGUGCCUAAUACAUGCAAGUAGAACGCUGAAGAGAGGAGCUUGCUCUUCUUGGAUGAGUUGCGAACGGGGGAGUAACGCGUAGGUAACCUGCCUUGUAGCGGGGGAUAACUAUUGGAAACGAUAGCUAAUACCGCAUAACAAUGGAUGACACAUGUCAUUUAUUUGAAAGGGGCAAUUGCUCCACUACAAGAUGGACCUGCGUUGUAUUAGCUAGUAGGUGAGGUAAUGGCUCACCUAGGCGACGAUACAUAGCCGACCUGAGAGGGUGAUCGGCCACACUGGGACUGAGACACGGCCCAGACUCCUACGGGAGGCAGCAGUAGGGAAUCUUCGACAAUGGGGGCAACCCUGACCGAGCAACGCCGCGUGAGUGAAGAAGGUUUUCGGAUCGUAAAGCUCUGUUGUAAGUCAAGAACGGGUGUGAGAGUGGAAAGUUCACACUGUGACGGUAGCUUACCAGAAAGGGACGGCUAACUACGUG